UGCAGUCGAGCGGUAGCACAGAGAGCUUGCUCUCGGGUGACGAGCGGCGGACGGGUGAGUAAUGUCUGGGAAACUGCCUGAUGGAGGGGGAUAACUACUGGAAACGGUAGCUAAUACCGCAUAACGUCGCAAGACCAAAGUGGGGGACCUUCGGGCCUCAUGCCAUCAGAUGUGCCCAGAUGGGAUUAGCUAGUAGGUGGGGUAACGGCUCACCUAGGCGACGAUCCCUAGCUGGUCUGAGAGGAUGACCAGCCACACUGGAACUGAGACACGGUCCAGACUCCUACGGGAGGCAGCAGUGGGGAAUAUUGCACAAUGGGCGCAAGCCUGAUGCAGCCAUGCCGCGUGUGUGAAGAAGGCCUUCGGGUUGUAAAGCACUUUCAGCGGGGAGGAAGGCGGUGAGGUUAAUAACCUCAUCGAUUGACGUUACCCGCAGAAGAAGCACCGGCUAACUCCGUGCCAGCAGCCGCGGUAAUACGGAGGGUGCAAGCGUUAAUCGGAAUUACUGGGCGUAAAGCGCACGCAGGCGGUCUGUCAAGUCGGAUGUGAAAUCCCCGGGCUCAACCUGGGAACUGCAUUCGAAACUGGCAGGCUAGAGUCUUGUAGAGGGGGGUAGAAUUCCAGGUGUAGCGGUGAAAUGCGUAGAGAUCUGGAGGAAUACCGGUGGCGAAGGCGGCCCCCUGGACAAAGACUGACGCUCAGGUGCGAAAGCGUGGGGAGCAAACAGGAUUAGAUACCCUGGUAGUCCACGCCGUAAACGAUGUCGAUUUGGAGGUUGUGCCCUUGAGGCGUGGCUUCCGGAGCUAACGCGUUAAAUCGACCGCCUGGGGAGUACGGCCGCAAGGUUAAAACUCAAAUGAAUUGACGGGGGCCCGCACAAGCGGUGGAGCAUGUGGUUUAAUUCGAUGCAACGCGAAGAACCUUACCUGGUCUUGACUUCCACAGAACUUUCCAGAGAUGGAUUGGUGCCUUCGGGAACUGUGAGACAGGUGCUGCAUGGCUGUCGUCAGCUCGUGUUGUGAAAUGUUGGGUUAAGUCCCGCAACGAGCGCAACCCUUAUCCUUU
rnacentral:rRNA from 1 species